UACGUAGGGAGCAAGCGUUAAUCGGAAUUACUGGGCGUAAAGCGUGCGUAGUCGGUUAUCUAAGUCGGGUGUGAAAUCCCCGGGCUCAACCUGGGAAUUGCAUUCGAUACUGGAUAGCUAGAGUUCGGCAGAGGGAAGCGGAAUUUCGGGUGUAGCGGUGAAAUGCGUAGAUAUCCGAAGGAACAUCAGUGGCGAAAGCGGCUUCCUGGACCAGAACUGAACGAUCAGGCACGAAAGCGUGG
rnacentral:rRNA from 1 species